rnacentral:rRNA from 1 species
AUUGAACGCUGGCGGCAGGCCUAACACAUGCAAGUCGAGCGGAGCGGCGGACGGGUGAGUAAUGCCUAGGAAUCUGCCUGGUAGUGGGGGAUAACGUCCGGAAACGGGCGCUAAUACCGCAUACUAUCAGAUGAGCCUAGGUCGGAUUAGCUAGUGGGUGGGGUAAAGGCCUACCAAGGCGACGAUCCGUAACUGGUCUGAGAGGAUGAUCAGUAACAGUGGAACUGAGACACGGUCAAGACUCCUACGGGAGGAAGCAGUGGGGAAUAUUGGACAAUGGGCGAAAGCCUGAUCCAACCAGGCCGCGUGUGUGAAGAAGGUCUUCGGAUUGUAAAGCACUUUAAGUUGGGAGGCGUUACCAACAGAAUAAGCACCGGCUAACUUCGUGCCAGCAGCCGCGGUAAUAC